CUAUAUUUUUGCUAUCGUCCAGUUUUUAUUUAUCUUGAACAGGGAUUACCCUGCUUUCUAAUUUUAUCAUAGACUAGUUGUUUAUUUCUACGCUUCUUUCCAUUUCAGGCCGUUUUAGUCCCAUGAAUGUCAAGUUCCUUGAAGAGGUUGCGGCUGGAAAUUGGACUGGAGAUUUUUCUAUAUUUGCACACAAUUCAGGUAUUGCUCUAUUUCUCUUCCUUUUUAAUAGAUAUUUUCUAGAGCUUUGCUAAGUGCACCUGGCAUGUUCAAUGAAGCUCAUUUUCACACCACAAACAUGGCACAUGGCACAUAGCUAGGUGCCAGAUCCAAACCAUCCAUCAGGUUGGUCUGACCCUCUGCAUGUUUUUCCAAAAGUUUAUGCAUGGGAUGGCAGGAAGAUUAACAUUACCUGUAACCAGCUGUAGGUUAAAAUGAUCUAGAGCCAUUCACAACACUCACAAAACAUGAGCAAGAUCUGAUCCAUUAUCAAUGAUGAGAAGGUCGUGGAAUUCAAACAGUCUGAACAGGUCCCCACAAUCGCAUAGUGGUGGGCUUCACCUCUAUGGUUGAGUUUCAAAUCAAGCAUCAGGAACUGAACAAAGAGAACUAGUGAGGGAUGUUACAGGUUUUGGAGAAAAUAGGAGAGCAAACUUGGAAGAUCUAGGCAUUCUUACAGGAAGAGAGGCCCUUGACACAUUCAACACAGCAGUUGUAUCGCCUAUAUACUAUGUGAUGUUUACGUCCUGCGGUCUAUGUGAAGGUAACACCUGAGGACGUUCAUAAGUUCAACUUGCCCCCAGAAUGUGUCAAUAAAACUCCAUCUGGUGAAACUUUUGUUAAACCAAAUUUACAGAAGGGCAUACUUCCAGAAAUUCUCGAAGAAUUAUUGGCUGCUCGUAAAAGGGCUAAAGCAGAUCUUAAGGAAGCAAAGGAUCCAUUUGAGAAGGCUGUACUGAAUGGUUGUCAGCUGGCUCUGAAAAUAAGUAUGAACUCAGUGUAUGGAUUUACUGGAGCUACAGUGGGACAACUACCUUGUUUGGAGAUAUCUUCCAGUGUGACAAGCUAUGGUAAUUAGAAGUUCUUUCCACAUUACCAUCUCCCUCAUCAUACUU